rnacentral:rRNA from 1 species
CCUACGGGAGGCAGCAGUGGGGAAUAUUGCACAAUGGGGGAAACCCUGAUGCAGCGACGCCGCGUGAGUGAAGAAGUAUUUCGGCAUGUAAAGCUCUAUCAGCAGUGAAGAAAAUUACGGUACCUGACUAAGAAGCCCCGGCUAACUACGUGCCAGCAGCCGCGGUAAUACGUAGGGGGCAAGCGUUAUCCGGAUUUAAUGGGUGUAAAGGGAGCGUAGACGGCUCAACAAGUCUGAAGUGAAAGCCCAGGGCUCAACCUGCGGACUGCUUUUGAAACUGAUUAGCUAGAGUGCAGGAGAGGUAAGUGGAAUUCCUAGUGUAGCGGUGAAAUGCGUAGAUAUUAGGAGGAACACCAGUGGCGAAGGCGGCUUACUGGACUGUAACUGACGUUGAGGCUCGAAAGCGUGGGGAGCAAACAGGAUUAGAUACCCUAGUAGUC